rnacentral:lncRNA from 1 species
CGAAACCAGAAGAGGGCGUAUGGCUAGAGUUUCACCCUAAGAAGAAAGGGGAAGCAGGUGGAAAAGCAAUUAAAAAAAAAUCAGCAUCUCUCUCUAGCCUAUUAUCUCCUGUUAGACACAGCCCAGAAAAUGAAUAGAGACAAGUCCUGGCUGGGUCUGGGUUCAGAAACAUAAUAGAAGGAUUCAUCUAAUGGAAGGGAAUUCUUUCCACAGUUGCUAGUUCCUCACACCUCUGCCUCUAUGGGAUUCUCCUGGUCCCCACAUGCUCUGCUGUGUCUUCUAGCUGUCGGCCACUGUGGAGGAAGUGAACCUUCUAGAUCCUGCUGACUCAUACAAUGAGUUUUGUGUGGACCAUCAGACAAAAGGGCUGGCUGGUGAAGGUGGCUGUUGUCUGGAAAUUCCUCCCAGCUCUCCUCUAAUUAUGUCAUAAGGACUGGAGGCCCCUUAGCCUGCUUGUGAUAACACGCAAGGAAAUAUGGGCCAACUCUUCACAUGAACACAAGAUAUUUCCAUGCUAGCCUUUUGCAAGUAACAACAGAGAGAGCUCUGUGCAGUUUUCACUGGAAUGCCUGUGGAUUGCUUGUGUCAUAACUGUAAUCUAAAGAGUUGUCCAUUUGUUGAUUCCUUUGUAUUUGUAUUGGUAGAAUUGCCACUAUCAAACCAAGAUCUUUAGCUGCCUUUGUAUCAACUUCUUUGGAGCUUAUGUGAUUUUCCAGAAAAUUUCCAAGGCAUAGUUUUGUCCCUAAGUCCCAUGAAUAUGUAAUAUUUUGUGUCUCUCUAUUAAAAUAGCACUUUUUGUGCAUUCCAUUAACAAAUA